AAUAGAUACCCCGGUAGUCCACGCCGUAAACGAUGAAUACUAGGUGUGGGGGUUGUCAUGACCUCCGUGCCGCCGCUAACGCAUUAAGUAUUCCGCCUGGGGAGUACGGUCACAAGAUUAAAACUCAAAGGAAUUGACAGGGGCCCGCACAAGCAGCGGAGCAUGUGGUUUAAUUCGAAGCAACGCGAAGAACCUUACCUAGACUUGACAUCUCCUGAAUUACUCUUAAUCGAGGAAGUCCCUUCGGGGACAGGAAGACAGGUGGUGCAUGGUUGUCGUCAGCUCGUGUCGUGAGAUGUUGGGUUAAGUCCCGCAACGAGCGCAACCCUUAUUGUUAGUUGCUACCAUUAAGUUGAGCACUCUAGCGAGACUGCCCGGGUUAACCGGGAGGAAGGUGGGGAUGACGUCAAAUCAUCAUGCCCCUUAUGUCUAGGGCUACACACGUGCUACAAUGGCUGGUACAGAGAGAUGCUAAACCGUGAGGUGGAGCCAAAUUUAAAACCCAGUCUCAGUUCGGAUUGAGGCUGAAACUCGCCUAC
rnacentral:rRNA from 1 species